rnacentral:rRNA from 1 species
CACGCCCUAAACGCUGUCUGUUGGCUAUAGGGAGUAUCGACCCUCUCUGUGGCGAAGUUAACACGUUAAACAGACCGCCUGGGUAGUACGAUCGCAAGAUUAAAACUCAAAGGAAUAGACGGGGGCUCGCACAAGCGGUGGAUCAUGUGGCUUAAUUCGUAGCUAAGCGAAAAACCUUACCAAGGCUAGAAACUAUACUGCACGCUCCGGGAAACCGGAGAAGCCUUCGAGGGUGUAUAGCAGGUGA